rnacentral:lncRNA from 1 species
GGGGUUCACGUCGGUUUUGCUGUGAAGAGGUCUGUCCAGAAGUGGGGGUAAAGAAAGGGUGAUUCUUAUCGCAGAACAAGGCAUGUUGUUUUAAUCUCACCAGAAGUUUCAUCUAAUGUGAAAUAGAAAAAGACCAAACACUACAGAUUGAAGCUGGGUGCCUGAUGGACACCUGCUCGUGUGCUUCUCUGUAAGUAUUUGCAUUGUCGCAGUUGCAAGCACCCAUUUCACUGAGAAUCACUGCUGCAUCAUCGCAGUUGCAAGCGCGCAUUUGCUGAGAAUCACUGUUGCCUCCAUGGGGUCCUGUCCUAUGGGCGAUCCCUAUCUAGUUGGGAACUCUGUGCCAGGAGCUCCAAUGCUUCCCAUCUUACUAAGUUCUACACUGACUACAGUGAUAGGUAACGUCUGUUUUCCUGCAAUGCUUAAAUAUUGUUUCUACCUCCACCUUUGGCAGCUAUGUGGCAGACAAUUUAAUCACUGUUAGGCAAAAAAGACCUAAAGUUAUUCUGUUAGCUACUGUACCCUGCCUGGAUUCCCCAGGCCACAUGUCUUGGAUAGCCCCACACGGCUUCAGAUAUUGUUAUUGCUUCUAUCCACUCUGCUAAACUGAGCCAUGGUUAAUAAAAGAUGAGAA